rnacentral:rRNA from 1 species
AGAGUUUGAUCAUGGCUCAGGAUGAACGCUGGCGGCGUGCCUAACACAUGCAAGUCGAACGGAGUUAUUUGAGGAAGUUUUCGGAUGGAAUCAAAUGACUUAGUGGCGGACGGGUGAGUAACGCGUGGGAAACCUGCCCUGUACCGG